rnacentral:rRNA from 1 species
AGAGUUUGAUCCUGGCUCAGAUUGAACGCUGGCGGCAGGCUUAACACAUGCAAGUCGAGCGGGGAAAAGUAGCUUGCUACUUAACUUAGCGGCGGACGGGUGAGUAAUACUUAGGAAUCUGCCUAUUAGUGGGGGACAACAUUUCGAAAGGAAUGCUAAUACCGCAUACGCCCUACGGGGGAAAGCAGGGGAUCACUUGUGACCUUGCGCUAAUAGAUGAGCCUAAGUCGGAUUAGCUAGUUGGUGGGGUAAAGGCCUACCAAGGCGACGAUCUGUAGCGGGUCUGAGAGGAUGAUCCGCCACACUGGGACUGAGACACGGCCCAGACUCCUACGGGAGGCAGCAGUGGGGAAUAUUGGACAAUGGGGGGAACCCUGAUCCAGCCAUGCCGCGUGUGUGAAGAAGGCCUUUUGGUUGUAAAGCACUUUAAGCGAGGAGGAGGCUCUUCUAGUUAAUACCUAGGAUGAGUGGACGUUACUCGCAGAAUAAGCACCGGCUAACUCUGUGCCAGCAGCCGCGGUAAUA